UUUGAUCAUGGCUCAGGACGAACGCUGGCGGCGUGCCUAAUACAUGCAAGUAGAACGCUGAAGAGAGGAGCUUGCUCUUCUUGGAUGAGUUGCGAACGGGUGAGUAACGCGUAGGUAACCUGCCUUGUAGCGGGGGAUAACUAUUGGAAACGAUAGCUAAUACCGCAUAACAAUGGAUGACACAUGUCAUUUAUUUGAAAGGGGCAAUUGCUCCACUACAAGAUGGACCUGCGUUGUAUUAGCUAGUAGGUGAGGUAACGGCUCACCUAGGCGACGAUACAUAGCCGACCUGAGAGGGUGAUCGGCCACACUGGGACUGAGACACGGCCCAGACUCCUACGGGAGGCAGCAGUAGGGAAUCUUCGGCAAUGGGGGCAACCCUGACCGAGCAACGCCGCGUGAGUGAAGAAGGUUUUCGGAUCGUAAAGCUCUGUUGUAAGUCAAGAACGAGUGUGAGAGUGGAAAAUUCACACUGUGACGGUAGCUUACCAGAAAGGGACGGCUAACUACGUGCCAGCAGCCGCGGUAAUACGUAGGUCCCGAGCGUUGUCCGGAUUUAUUGGGCGUAAAGCGAGCGCAGGCGGUUUGAUAAGUCUGAAGUUAAAGGCUGUGGCUCAACCAUAGUUCGCUUUGGAAACUGUCAAACUUGAGUGCAGAAGGGGAGAGUGGAAUUCCAUGUGUAGCGGUGAAAUGCGUAGAUAUAUGGAGGAACACCGGUGGCGAAAGCGGCUCUCUGGUCUGUAACUGACGCUGAGGCUCGAAAGCGUGGGGAGCGAACAGGAUUAGAUACCCUGGUAGUCCACGCCGUAAACGAUGAGUGCUAGGUGUUGGAUCCUUUCCGGGAUUCAGUGCCGCAGCUAACGCAUUAAGCACUCCGCCUGGGGAGUACGACCGCAAGGUUGAAACUCAAAGGAAUUGACGGGGGCCCGCACAAGCGGUGGAGCAUGUGGUUUAAUUCGAAGCAACGCGAAGAACCUUACCAGGUCUUGACAUCCCGAUGCUAUUUCUAGAGAUAGAAAGUUACUUCGGUACAUCGGUGACAGGUGGUGCAUGGUUGUCGUCAGCUCGUGUCGUGAGAUGUUGGGUUAAGUCCCGCAACGAGCGCAACCCCUAUUGUUAGUUGCCAUCAUUCAGUUGGGCACUCUAGCGAGACUGCCGGUAAUAAACCGGAGGAAGGUGGGGAUGACGUCAAAUCAUCAUGCCCCUUAUGACCUGGGCUACACACGUGCUACAAUGGUUGGUACAACGAGUUGCGAGUCGGUGACGGCAAGCUAAUCUCUUAAAGCCAAUCUCAGUUCGGAUUGUAGGCUGCAACUCGCCUACAUGAAGUCGGAAUCGCUAGUAAUCGCGGAUCAGCACGCCGCGGUGAAUACGUUCCCGGGCCUUGCACACACCGCCCGUC
rnacentral:rRNA from 1 species